GAAACUGAGACUCGAUUAUCGGGGGAGAGGACAGAGAGAGUUCUUCUCCGUCGUGCACUUUUGGACGUUGGAUUUGUCGGACGAAUUUCAAAUAAAGCUGGCGGGGAAGAUAUCACAGGUCCAAUCGGUUACGAAUCCGGACUCGGGUCGGAUCCAACCGGACUUAUCACUUGCGAGUUAGACCUCGCUCUGUUUUUUUUUUUUUCCAUUGAUUUUUAUUCCUCCUGUGCAGAUGCCUCGACCAGGGGAUUCUUUUUCCAAUCCUACUAAUUGAGUGUGUGUGUGUGUGUGUGAGAGAGAGAGAGAGAGACGCUAUAUUCGGUGCGGCGAGGGAAGAUGGCGAUGCCGGUGGGAGUAGCGAUGUAUAUAGCGAAGAUGGUGUGGAUUGCUCUGAGCGGGUGGGUCGUCAUCUGCCUCUCCAUCGCCGACGAGAUCGCAGGUUGUCUCAGAACUGGCGACAUCGGCCCUUUCCAUGUCGGCUGAUCGAUUUCAAUGGCUCCUCUGAGGAGGAAAUGAAUGCAAAGGCGUGGAGAAGGCAUUGGCAAUGAUGUUUUAGACGACAACAAUGACGGAUAUAGGAAGUGGCAAUGGGUUGUGAAGAUAGAUUCUGAAACUGUAUAGAUCGAGGGUUCAUAUAGAUUUGCGUACUUGUGUAAAUGCUGCCGAGUACCCAUUGAUUUUUUUUGUUCUUGUGCAUAAGUUUUGUGCUCAAACUCGGCCUUUCUCAGACCCCAAUGACGUUAAUACGAUACUAGUGAUGUCAAAAUAGACCUACCUCGCGAGCCUGUCCAUAUAUUCCGAUAUGGGUUCGGAACAUUCGAAUCCGAUAAAAAAUGGACUAGACGAGGUGGUUCGCCGUGAACGGAGGUCAAUGCGAACUAGCUCGGCGAGUCUCGUAAGAAUAAGUCCGAGUUUUUUCUGUCUUUAAUGUAACAACAACUUGCGAGAUUGUAUUUAAUGUUUACAACUUAUGUUCCCAAUUACUUGUAAUUUCAAAGAUUGAAGUAGUUCAUAUA